UGCGCAUGCGUGCGGGGCUGCUAGUUUCGGUUCCCGGCGGCCGCCGCUGGCGGGUGGCGGUUACGGGAAGAGAGCGGGGGGGCCGCGGAGGGCGAGGGCGAGCCCGGCCGUUCUGGUGGCGGGGGGCGUCCCGACAUGGCGUGUCCGGCGCCAGCCGGGUCUCGAAGCGCGGUGGCCGUGAGGGAGGGCUGGCCGGCCGCCCCUCCCCCCCCCCCGUGCUGGGUGUGAGGGGAGGUUUCCCGCUCCCGCCCUCGCGGUGCGAGGCGGUUGAGCUUUUGGUUGAAGAAUUGUUUUGUGGCAAUAGGAAAUUGCUACUUGCCCCCCAAAAAGUACUAUGUGGUUUGUAGCACAAUCGUGUCUCUCUCAUGACAGGUUUGGUACGGGUUGGUGCAACGAGUGCUAAUGGUGGUGUUUAAGCUUAUAAUGAUUGACAAGAAGUCCCUCAGUGACGGACAGCCAGGUUGACAUUGCUGGAAUUUAUCAGACAUCUGUCACUCUCCACCUCACUGCAUACAAUUCUUUGUUGUGGAUCUGCGAGGAAAAUAAAAGUGGAGUCUGGAGACUUUUUUUCA
rnacentral:lncRNA from 1 species